rnacentral:rRNA from 1 species
AGAGUUUGAUUCUGGCUCAGGAUGAACGCUGGCGGCGUGCUUAACACAUGCAAGUCGAACGAAGCACUUAAGAUUGAUUCUUCGGAUGAAGUCUUUUGUGACUGAGUGGCGGACGGGUGAGUAACGCGUGGGUAACCUGCCUCAUACAGGGGGAUAACAGUUAGAAAUGACUGCUAAUACCGCAUAAGCGCACAGGGUCGCAUGACCUGGUGUGAAAAACUCCGGUGGUAUGAGAUGGACCCGCGUCUGAUUAGCUAGUUGGCGAGGUAACGGCCCACCAAGGCGACGAUCAGUAGCCGACCUGAGAGGGUGAUCGGCCACAUUGGGACUGAGACACGGCCCAA